rnacentral:rRNA from 1 species
GAUGAACGCUGGCGGCGUGCCUAAUACAUGCAAGUCGAGCGAACAGACGAGGAGCUUGCUCCUCUGACGUUAGCGGCGGACGGGUGAGUAACACGUGGAUAACCUACCUAUAAGACUGGGAUAACUUCGGAAACCGGAGCUAAUACCGGAUAAUAUAUUGAACCGCAUGGUUCAAUAGUGAAAGACGGUUUUGCUAUCACUUAUAGAUGGAUCCGCGCCGCAUUAGCUAGUUGGUAAGGUAACGGCUUACCAAGGCAACGAUGCGUAGCCGACCUGAGAGGGUGAUCGGCCACACUGGAACUGAGACACGGUCCAGACUCCUACGGGAGGCAGCAGUAGGGAAUCUUCCGCAAUGGGCGAAAGCCUGACGGAGCAACGCCGCGUGAGUGAUGAAGGUCUUCGGAUCGUAAAACUCUGUUAUUAGGGAAGAACAAAUGUGUAAGUAACUAUGCACGUCUUGACGGUACCUAAUCAGAAAGCCACGGCUAACUACGUG